rnacentral:rRNA from 1 species
AGUCAAGUAAUUAAGUGCAUGUGGUGGAUGCCUUGGCAGUCAGAGGCGAUGAAAGACGUGAUAGCCUGCGAAAAGCUCCGGGGAGGCGGCAAAUAUCCUUUGAUCCGGAGAUGUCUGAAUGGGGGAACCCACCUACUUUAAGGUAGGUAUUGCAACAUGAAUACAUAGUGUUGCAAGGCGAACGAGGGGAAGUGAAACAUCUCAGUACCCUUAGGAAAAGAAAUCAAUUGAGAUUCCCUCAGUAGCGGCGAGCGAACGGGGAUCAGCCCAUUAAGUUAUGUGUGUUUUAGUGGAACGCUCUGGGAAGUGCGAACGUAGAGGGUGAUAUUCCCGUACACGAAAGGGCACACAUAAUGAUGACGAGUAGGGCGAGGCACGUGAAACCUUGUCUGAAUAUGGGGGGACCAUCCUCCAAGGCUAAAUACUCCUGACUGACCGAUAGUGAACCAGUACCGUGAGGGAAAGGCGAAAAGAACCCCUGUGAGGGGAGUGAAAUAGAUCCUGAAACCGCAUGCAUACAAGCAGUGGGAGCACCUUCGUGGUGUGACUGCGUACCUUUUGUAUAAUGGGUCAGCGACUUAUAUUCAGUAGCGAGGUUAACCGUAUAGGGGAGCCGUAGAGAAAUCGAGUCUUAAUAGGGCGUUUAGUUGCUGGGUAUAGACCCGAAACCAGGCGAUCUAUCCAUGAGCAGGUUGAAGGUUGGGUAACACUAACUGGAGGACCGAACCCACUGUCGUUGAAAAGCCAGGGGAUGACUUGUGGAUAGGGGUGAAAGGCUAAUCAAGCCUGGUGAUAGCUGGUUCUCCCCGAAAGCUAUUUAGGUAGCGCCUCGGACGAAUACCAUAGGGGGUAGAGCACUGUUUCGGCUAGGGGGUCAUCCCGACUUACCAAACCGAUGCAAACUCCGAAUACCUAUGAGUACUAUCCGGGAGACAGACUGCGGGUGCUAACGUCCGUAGUCAAGAGGAAAACAAUCCAGACCGCCAGCUAAGGCCCCAAAAUCAUAGUUAAGUGGGAAACGAUGUGGGAAGGCAUAGACAGCUAGGAGGUUGGCUUAGAAGCAGCCACCCUUUAAAGAAAGCGUAAUAGCUCACUAGUCGAGUCGGCCUGCGCGGAAGAUGUAACGGGGCUAAAACUAUGUGCCGAAGCUGCGGAUGUAUACUUUGUAUACGUGGUAGGGGAGCGUUCUGUAAGCCGAUGAAGGUGUGUUGAGAAGCAUGCUGGAGGUAUCAGAAGUGCGAAUGCUGACGUGAGUAACGACAAAACGGGUGAAAAACCCGUUCGCCGAAAGACCAAGGGUUCCAGUCCAACGUUAAUCGGGGCUGGGUGAGUCGACCCCUAAGGCGAGGCCGAAAGGCGUAGUCGAUGGGAAAAUGGUUAAUAUUCCAUUACUUCUGUGUAAUGCGAUGAGAGGACGGAGAAGGCUAAAUCAGCCUGGCGUUGGUUGUCCAGGUGAAAGGAUGUAGGCAUGUAUCUUAGGCAAAUCCGGGGUACUCUAUGCUGAGAUCUGAUAGCAAGCUGUACUUGUACAGCGAAGUGGUUGAUGCCAUGCUUCCAGGAAAAGUCUCUAAGCUUCAGUUACACAGGAAUCGUACCCGAAACCGACACAGGUGGUCAGGUCGAGUAGACCAAGGCGCUUGAGAGAACUCUGCUGAAGGAACUAGGCAAAAUGGUACCGUAACUUCGGGAGAAGGUACGCUGUUGUUGGUGAUGGAACUCGCUUCCUGAGCUGACGACAGCCGCAGAAACCAGGCCGCUGCAACUGUUUAUUAAAAACAUAGCACUCUGCAAACACGAAAGUGGACGUAUAGGGUGUGAUGCCUGCCCGGUGCUGGAAGGUUAAUUGAUGGGGUUAGCGUAAGCGAAGCUCUUGAUCGAAGCCCCAGUAAACGGCGGCCGUAACUAUAACGGUCCUAAGGUAGCGAAAUUCCUUGUCGGGUAAGUUCCGACCUGCACGAAUGGCAUAAUGAUGGCGGCGCUGUCUCCAGCAGAGGCUCAGUGAAAUCGAAAUCGCUGUGAAGAUGCAGUGUACCCGCGGCUAGACGGAAAGACCCCGUGAACCUUUACUGCAGCUUGACACUGAACUUUGACCUUACUUGUGUAGGAUAGGUGGGAGGCUUUGAAGCUGGAACGCUAGUUCCAGUGGAGCCGUCCUUGAAAUACCACCCUGGUAAUGUUGAGGUUCUAACUCUGUCCCGUGAUCCGGGACGAGGACCGUGUCUGGUGGGUAGUUUGACUGGGGCGGUCUCCUCCUAAAGAGUAACGGAGGAGUACGAAGGUGCGCUCAGCGUGGUCGGAAAUCACGCGUAGAGUAUAAAGGCAAAAGCGCGCUUAACUGCGAGACCCACAAGUCGAGCAGGUACGAAAGUAGGUCUUAGUGAUCCGGUGGUUCUGUAUGGAAGGGCCAUCGCUCAACGGAUAAAAGGUACUCUGGGGAUAACAGGCUGAUACCGCCCAAGAGUUCAUAUCGACGGCGGUGUUUGGCACCUCGAUGUCGGCUCAUCUCAUCCUGGGGUUGAAGCAGGUCCCAAGGGUAUGGCUGUUCGCCAUUUAAAGAGGUACGCGAGCUGGGUUUAGAACGUCGUGAGACAGUUCGGUCCCUAUCUACCGUGGGCGCUGGAAAUUUGAGAGGAUCUGCUCCUAGUACGAGAGGACCAGAGUGGACGAACCUCUGGUGUACCGGUUGUGACGCCAGUCGCAUCGCCGGGUAGCUAUGUUCGGAAGGGAUAACCGCUGAAAGCAUCUAAGCGGGAAGCCUACCUCAAGAUAAGAUUUCCCUAGGACUUUAUGUCCUCUAAAGAGCCGUUCGAGACUAGGACGUUGAUAGGUUGGAUGUGGAAGCAUAGUGAUAUGUGAAGCUGACCAAUACUAAUUGCUCGUGAGGCUUGACUAU